UCAAAGUGUUGGUCAAUAUUUAACAUAAGGAUUUGUGAAGAAAGGAGUUACUAUCUCACCUGUUGAUUCUGAGUGUGUUGUGAACUUUGUCCCUUCACAGUUCCUCUUUAUGAGUCGCUGAAAACAGAGAACUCCAUGUCAUCCUCUAAAGGUGCUUUGGCUCAGUAAAAACUGUUCCUUGUUUACCAGAGUCUCAUUGUCAUGUUCCACCAGGACACCAGGAUGUGAUGGACUGUCCACGUUUUACCUUCAACCCAAAGGAGGGGAUUGAUAAUCCGGCUCUGAUCAUCACUGAUGAUUUAGAACCUGACCUGUGCAUGGUACCCCGCCUCUGUCAGCUGAAGCGUGUGGAGGCUCAGAGCUUUGGCUUUCACUUACACAUGGAACAGAACAACCAUGGCAUCGUAAUUAGAGAAGUGGAACCUUGGAGUCCUGCAGAGCACUGUGGCCUCAGAGGCGGAGAGCGACUGCUGGAGGUCAAUGAGACAUAUGUGGACAACAUGGACUUUUUCAAGGUUGUGAGAAAGAUCCAGUCAUGUGGCUUAGACUUGUUUCUUCUGGUGCUACGGAGGGAAGAGUACGAGCAGGCAGUGGUCAUGGAUUUAGACCUACAACAGCUUGCCAAAGCCACCAAAGGAGACAGGUGGACUCGCCCAAGACUGUGUCACAUCACCAGACAUCCAGACCAUGGACUGGGGAUGACUAUCAUACCAAUUACUGAAGGUCAGAGGGGUCGAUACAUGGUGAACACGGUAUCUGAUGGUCCAGCAGAGAAAGCUGGUGUCCACUUUGGAGACAUUUUGAUCUGGAUCAAUGGAGUCUCUGUGUCAGGGCUCACAACCACCAAUCUGAACAGAAUUGUAAAGAAGAGUGGGAACUCGGUGACAGUGCUGGUAAUUGACAGUGACAGUGAGUCCUGUUAUCUCAGGCGGAGGAUGCCCAUCCUUCCUACGCUGGCAGAAAGUAACAACCUUCCCUACUAUGCUAAGAACUUACAUUUGCUGAAAAGACCUGAUGGAUUUGGUUUUUUGCUAAGGCAAGAGAGAGUGGAACCCCCACAAAAGAUAGCUCAUGUACUGAGAGAAGUGGAUGUGGGGAGCGCAGCAGAGGAAGCAGGUAUGGAGGAUGGCGAACUGCUGUUGGCUGUUAAUGGUGACCCUGUUGAGUCCUUGGAACACGAGGAAAUUGUCAGACUGAUAAGAAAGAGUGGUGACAAAGUCACACUGACAUCUAUGUCUGUACAAGGAAGGAAAUAUUACAGAGAGGAGUGCCUCCUCUCUUGUUCCAUGAAGAGUAUUCUCUCAACUGCAACAACACAAUGAGCAAUCAGGAUGAACGGGAUACAGUUCACCUUGAUCAAUCUGGAAACAUAAUCCCAAAGCUAUCAGAGAGAACAGAGGAUGUUUUUCUGUGAUGAGGAAGACGUGACCAAAGGCGAUCAGCAGUUGGAGGAGGAACCUGGACGGGUCAGCAGACGUCAAUGUGUCAGGAUGUAAAUGUAAUGUUUGGAAUUUGCCUGUUCAGGAGAAGGCGUUAAAUGAAUCAUUGCAGUACAGUCGUCUCGUUUAGUAGCAUAUGUCUACAUUGUUUUCUAAUGUCAUAUUCGGUAGAGAAGAUAUUAUGCAGAAAAAUAAUCACGGCCGAUGUCAAUUCUCAUUAUAUACUGAAUUUGCAUGAACUGAUCAACGACCUUUUAAACAUCUGAACAAACAUCUUAUUUGUUGGUUCCUACAGUGCUGGAAUUAGACAAUUUCUUUAAAAUGUUAAAAUGUGUUUUUUUUCUUCGUUUUAAGUGAUUUUAACAAUUGAAAAACCCAGAAGGGUUUUUUUUAAACACUACAUAAAAUUGGCAUUAAAACUGUAAUGGUGUAUGUUUAUGUAUAUGUAUGUAUAUGAACUUGGGGAAACCAGAAGUUUCUCUUAUUAUUGUAGCAUAUGGCAAAUAGAAAUACGUUUGUAUUUGCAAAAUUGGCCAAACCAAAACAAGAGAAGUUUGGUUAGAUUUAACUACAGACUGAGAAAAAAGGAACAUGUGUCUUUCUAUUUGGUGCAUGUAAACUUCUGGUUUCAACUGUUAUUAUAUGUAUUUUAUUUCUAGAACAGAGUUGUGGAAAAGAAGAGAUGACAUUAUUAAAAAGUCAUAUUUAUUGCCAGUAUUUUCCAGAUGAAAAGGUUUCUGUAAAUAUAACCAUCUAAACAGUUUUCAGAUGCAUUAUUUAAUGAACCGCAAAUUGUAUUUAAGGUAUAUCUGAUUAAAACACCAAAUAUCAAAACUGUGAUUGCAAUGGUUCUGUAAUCGCUUAUUUAAAGUCUAAAUAUUGUAAAAAA